CUCAAGCGCCAUUUAUUCGUCGGUGCACUCUAACGGGGGGUUUCGAGAGCCUCCGAAUUCUACUCCCACCUCCCAAUCCUCUUCCCUUCUCCUCUCCCUCACGGCAGCGACUCGGUUACGCUCGGCAGAGGAAUUCCGCCAGAGCAGUGAGGACGAGCGGCGGUCUGGGAGCUAUAGUUCAAGGUAGGGACUGUGAGGGAGAAAUCUGUGAGUGCAAGCCCCUUUUUCACGCUAAUUUUGACAUUCUCUUCCUUUCCCACGUCGUUCUUCUCGGCCCUAGAGAACCCACGCCUCUAGUACUCUAGUCGGAGUCGGGAUCGUGCUCAGACGCACGACAGCGAGCAACAAUCGGCUAGCCAUUUUGGUGUUUGGAUCUCCGGAACGGAUUCUCACAUGAAUUCAGGAAAGUUAAAGGAGUAAGCAAAGUCUGUUAAGAAGAAGAGUUAAAAAAAAUUCACAGCUUUGGAGAAUGGCUAGUUGCCGAGAAAGCUAUUGAAUUUUAAGAUUUCAGGUGGCAUCCAACGUCUGACAAAUUACUAAAGAUAGAGGGGAUUGCUUCUGCAGUUUGGUUAUCACCAUCAAUGGCUAUUGUUUAACCUGAAUUUGGAUGUGUUUGAAGGAAACUUGGUUUAACACCUCAUCUGAUGGCUACUGUACAACAAUUACGAAAGAUGUGCCAAAGCCAAUGUUGAUUUUUUAAUGUUUGGUCUGAAGGAUUCGUUGAACCAGAAGCUUUCCAUCAUAGCGUAUCUUCCAUAUCAAGAAAACCAAGCGAGGCGGCUGAAAACGGUGAGAUCUCAUCUUUGGUGACAGUGCUCCAUUGCGCAAGUAUAGUGCCAAUGUUUCUCCAAAGACAAAUGUUUCAGUUAAAAGUAGAAAGCAUGAAAACUAAUAAGAUUGAAGAGACCAUGAAGGAACCUUUAUGUUGGAACUUCCCUCUUUUAGAGCAGACGGAAGCACUCUUUCAUCUUUUCUUGGUAGAGAAGAUUCGAGUGCCUGUUCACCAUCUUGAAAAGGAAGAGAAUGAUCGAAACAACUAUUUUUAUUGCCAAAAGUGUCUUGUAUCUGAAACAUCAGGUAAUUACCACGAAAUUUUAUUAGGCACAUGACAUUUAUUAAUGUGGGGCAAAAGUAGGCCACCAAAAGUGGCUAAGAUAUGUGAUACUGCCUGCGAUGAUAUUUAGGAAUGCAUUACAAGUAUUUAUUUCAUCAAGUCAAAAAUUAAAGAAUA